rnacentral:tRNA from 1 species
UCCCUUGUGACUCAGCUGGUAAAGAAUCCACCUGCAAUGUGGGAGACCUGGGUUCAAUCCCUGGCUAGGAAG